UGGCUCUUUGUUCUUCUCGUCCCAUCUUGCAUAGUCUAGUCUCACUAUUACAUGUUUUAACAUGAGGUAAAUAAGAUGGGGUUAGGAAAACACACUACUCAAAUCCUGACAUUUGUAGGUUGUACACAUCAGCCACAGUAGGCCUGGGCAACACAGGGACAAAGAACAGUGUUCCUCAGUUAAAGGCAAGUGCCCACCUGUCCCUGCGCUCUGAUGCAUGACCACAAAUGACAGACCCAAAAGGCAAAACUAGUUGCUGUUGAGAAUCAAGACUAGGAUUCUGACAGGACAUCCAGGUUUACAAUCUGGGCUUUCUUUUGGUUUGCCUGAUGUAGACUUUUAGCUUCAUACUAUGUGUUAUGUCUCUCACCAGUAAGCCGGUAUGUCUGGUGAACCACCUCUCACUUGAAUUGCUUUUUACAACGACGUUUUACACAAAUACUGAAAACUAGGCAAGAUUUGGUGACAUAUACCUGUAAUCCCAUUGUUAGGGAGGCUGAGACUGGAGUGCCAGCAGAAGCUUAAGGCCCCUUCCACUGAGUCUCUAUUACAAGAGCCACAAUAAACCCCUUGAAUGCAGUGUAACCAGCCAUGGUCUGAGGCGAGCAGUGGAGGAAGCAUGUGACACCUGAGUAUUAAUGGCUUCUGAAUGCUUAUCUCCUCAAACACGGUGUUCCAGGCUUCUGAAAUGUACACUGCAUGAUGCUUGCACACGUCCAGCAUCCGGACAACAGUACUGUGAACACAGAUCUCCCUACAUCACACGGUUCCACAGCACCUAUCAGUGUCCAGUGUGACCCCAGGCUCAGCUUCCUGAAGUUGGUGGCUGACGGGAAUUACAACCCUUUUUAUCUAACAUAUGAAUGCAGCCAUAUGGUCUCUCUGCUGAAAUAAUUUCCAGUUUUACCCAGAUUAUCACAACUGACAAGACUGGUAUGUUUCUCUGAGAAAUCGUCCAAUUAAAGUAGAAUUACAUCCUUGA